UACAGAGGAUGCAAGCGUUAUCCGGAAUGAUUGGGCGUAAAGCGUCUGUAGGUGGCUUUUCAAGUCCGCCGUCAAAUCCCAGGGCUCAACCCUGGACAGGCGGUGGAAACUACCAAGCUGGAGUACGGUAGGGGCAGAGGGAAUUUCCGGUGGAGCGGUGAAAUGCAUUGAGAUCGGAAAGAACACCAACGGCGAAGGCAGUCUGCUGGGCCGACACUGACACUGAGGUGCGAAAGCUAGGGGAGCAAACAGG
rnacentral:rRNA from 1 species